rnacentral:rRNA from 1 species
GUGAAAUUGUUGAAAGGGAAGCGCUUGCAGCCAGACGUGCCCGUAGUUGCUCAUCGGGGGUUCUCCCCCGUGUACUCUUCUAUGGGCAGGCCAGCAUCAGUCCGGGCGGUUGGAGAAAGACCUGUGUCAUGUAGCUGUUUUCGGGCAGUGUUAUAGGGCAGGUGGAAUGCAACCAGCCUGGACUGAGGUCCGCGCAUCUGCUAGGAUGCUGGCGUAAUGGCUGUAAGCGGCCCGUCUUGAAACACGGACCAAGGAGUCUAACAUCUAUGCGAGUGUUUGGGUGUCAAGCCCGAGCGCGUAAUGAAAGUGAACGGAGGUGGGAACCUUUUAGGUGCACCAUCGACCGAUCCUGAUGUCUUCGGAUGGAUUUGAGUAAGAGCAUAGCUGUUGGGACCCGAAAGAUGGUGAACUAUGCCUGAAUAGGGUGAAGCCAGAGGAAACUCUGGUGGAGGCUCGCAGCGGUUCUGACGUGCAAAUCGAUCGUCAAAUUUGGGCAUAGGGGCGAAAGACUAAUCGAACUAUCUAGUAGCUGGUUCCUGCCGAAGUUUCCCUCAGGAUAGCAGUAACGUUUUCAGUUUUAUGAGGUAAAGCGAAUGAUUAGAGGCCUGGGGGUUGAAACAACCUUCACCUAUUCUCAAACUUUAAAUAUGUAAGAAGUCCUUGUUUCUUAAUU